AAUUACUGUAUGUAAAACAUUCUGCCUUGAGCAGAACUUCCCAGCCUGGGAGCCUGACCCACAGCAGGAUCAUGCUUCCUCCUCCAGGGAGACGCACAGCACUUCCAGGCAUUGGUGCUAUCUGAAGAUGGGAGAAGCAGAAGUAGUUUCUGGUUCCUUCCUUCUCUUGGCUUUACCUCUGCUCUUUCAGGUGGAGCGGUUGGCUAGGCCAGCAGGCUCUAAGCAUUAUUACUUCCAGGUUUUAAUAGAUGGGUUCAUGAACUUGAAUCUCCUCAGAUAAGGACCCACAGUCUUCCUAAAGGAGCUUCCAUUAAUUUCUGCUCAUGUUUAUCAUUUUCAGAUAUUUAACUAAGAUCUUAAAUGAGGGGUAGCCUUGACACAG